rnacentral:lncRNA from 1 species
GAGGAGGAAGCGGCGGGGCGGAGGCGGCGGCGGCCGGGAAGAACUAGAGGUAUUCCCCGGGCGGCUGGAGGACUGAGUCGAGCCGGGACCCGAGUCCUCCGGUAUCCCAGCAGCCACCGGAGGCAGUGAGAUAAUGGAGGAAGAAUGUAGGGAGACCUCCAGUGGACCGCACUCCUUCUAGCGAGCCGCGGAAACCAUAGAGAUCAGGGCUCAGCCGGAGGGCCGGCCCACUGCUGUCACGUGGCCUCCAUCCGUGCGCUUUAUUGGCUGGUGCUGGCUUUACGGGGUUGAAUUUUGGACGCUGCCUGCCAUUCGUGGGACCGAGUUUCAGGCAGCUGGAAUAAAGAGAGACAUCGGGGGAAAGCCGCGAGAAGGCCAGCGUCCCUGGCUGGGAGCAGAGCUAGCCGAGUAGGGCGCCCGGCUGUCAAACUGGCCGGCGCAGUGCACGCUGGGCCGCCCCGGAGCGGUCGCAGAGCCCGUCGGGAGUCGUAGUCCGGGACGGGCCCGCGGCAUUGUCCGCGACGCAGCUCGGGAUCCGGGUCGGGGUGUCGGCCGGGUUGCUGCCGGGCACCGUCGAGCGUUAGCCACCCAGCAUUGAGCUGCCAGCGGCUGUUCUCCCUAAGCACCCUCGCUCACGUCGCCUCGCCUCGCCUCGCCUGACCGGCCGCAGCCUUGGAUACCAGCCUUAAAUCGAGCCGACUACGGCCCAGCCCCGCCCGCGGCGAGGUGCGCGGGGUUCGGUGCCAGCCGCUCGCCCCUGGCGGGGCCAGCCUCUUGAUGCACCGGGGACGGGCGC